rnacentral:tRNA from 1 species
GUGGCUGUAGUGUAACCUGGCAGCACUGGGGACUCAAUAUCCUCUAGUCUGGGUUCAAAUCCCAGCAGCCACC